AGUGAACGCUGGCGGUAGGCCUAACACAUGCAAGUCGAACGGCAGCACAGUAAGAGCUUGCUCUUACGGGUGGCGAGUGGCGGACGGGUGAGGAAUACAUCGGAAUCUACUUUUUCGUGGGGGAUAACGUAGGGAAACUUACGCUAAUACCGCAUACGACCUACGGGUGAAAGCAGGGGAUCUUCGGACCUUGCGCGAUUGAAUGAGCCGAUGUCGGAUUAGCUAGUUGGCGGGGUAAAGGCCCACCAAGGCGACGAUCCGUAGCUGGUCUGGGAGGAUGAUCAGCCACACUGGAACUGGGACAAGGUCCAGACUCCUACGGGAGGGAGCAGUGGGGAAUAUUGGACAAUGGGCGCAAGCCUGAUCCAGCCAUACCGCGUGGGUGAAGAAGGCCUUCGGGUUGUAAAGCCCUUUUGUUGGGAAAGAAAAGCAGCAGGUUAAUACCCCGCUGUUCUGACGGUACCCAAAGAAUAAGCACCGGCUAACUUCGUG
rnacentral:rRNA from 1 species